AGUGAACGCUGGCGGUAGGCCUAACACAUGCAAGUCGAACGGCAGCACAGUAAGAGCUCGCUCUUACGGGUGGCGAGUGGCGGACGGGUGAGGAAUACAUCGGAAUCUACUUUUACGUGGGGGAUAACGUAGGGAAACUUACACUAAUACCGCAUACGACCUACGGGUGAAAGCAGGGGAUCAUCGGACCUUGCGCGAUUGAAUGAGCCGAUGUCGGAUUAGCUAGUUGGCGGGGUAAAGGCACACCAAGGCGACGAUCCGUAGCUGGUCUGAGAGGAUGAUCAGCCACACUGGAACUGAGACACGGUCCAGACUCCUACGGGAGGCAGCAGUGGGGAAUAUUGGGCAAUGGGCGCAAGCCUGAUCGAGCCAUGCCGCGUGGGUGAAGAAGGUCUUCGGGUUGUAAAGCCCUUUUGUUGGGAAAGAAAAGCAGCAGGUUAAUACCCCGCUGUUCUGACGGUACCCAAAGAAUAAGCACCGGCUAACUUCGUG
rnacentral:rRNA from 1 species